GACGAACGCUGGCGGCGUGCUUAACACAUGCAAGUCGAACGGAAAGGCCCUGCUUUUGUGGGGUGCUCGAGUGGCGAACGGGUGAGUAACACGUGAGUAACCUGCCCUUGACUUUGGGAUAACUUCAGGAAACUGGGGCUAAUACCGGAUAGGAGCUCCUGCUGCAUGGUGGGGGUUGGAAAGUUUCGGCGGUUGGGGAUGGACUCGCGGCUUAUCAGCUUGUUGGUGGGGUAGUGGCUUACCAAGGCUUUGACGGGUAGCCGGCCUGAGAGGGUGACCGGCCACAUUGGGACUGAGGUACGGCCCAGACUCCUACGGGGGGCAGCAGUGGGGAAUAUUGCACAAUGGGCGGAAGCCUGAUGCAGCAACGCCGCGUGCGGGAUGACGGCCUUCGGGUUGUAAACCGCUUUCGCCUGUGACGAAGCGGGAGUGACGGUAAUGGGUAAAGAAGCACCGGCUAACUACGUG
rnacentral:rRNA from 1 species